GGCCGUGGGCGGGGUUCCGUCGGCGGUUGGUGUAUCGGGGGAGGCGGCAGCAGCUGCGGUGAGGGUGGUGUGUGAGGUGUUGUACCUGGAAGUGGAGGUGGUGAGUGCAGCAGCGGUUCCGGAAGUGGUGUCGCCGGCGGAGGCGGAUGUGACGUCAUCGGUGGGGUCUCCGGCCGUGUCUUCAUGGUCAAUGGCGGCGGGGCAGACAACAUCAGGUGAAGAUGUGCGUGAUUUUAGCAAGGUGCUGAAAAAUAAGUUCAGAUCAAAGAAAUACUUUGCCAAACAUCCUCGCUUGGGUUAUUUACCAGUACAAACAGUUCUAGAAGGCGAGAACCUUGAGACUGGAUCUGUUGGAGUUGCACACAGCGCAACGCGUCUUUGAUCAACACAAAUUGACACAAACCGAGCAACUUCUGAAUGUGACUGAAGUAAUCAACUGUUUAACGUCCAUUUAUGAUGUUUUGGAACAAAACCACAAGGACUUGGUCAAUGUGCCACUCUGUGUCGACAUGUGUCUGAACUGGCUGCUGAACGUAUUUGAUACGGGUAUGAGUGGAAGAAUCAGAGUGCUUUCUUUGAAAAUUGGCUUGACGUGACUCUUCAAGGAUCAUCUAGAGGAAAAAUACAAGUAUCUCUUCAAACAAGUCGCUGAACCCACAGAUUUAUGUGACCAACGAAGCCUGAGUCUUUUGCUUUACGAUGCAGUCCAGAUCCCUUGGCAGCUGGGUGAGGUAGCUUCAUUUGGAGGCUGCAACAUUGAACCAAGUAUCCGCAGUUGCUUCCAACAUGGCCAGAACAAACCAGAGAUUGAUGUUGAACGCUUUGUCGAGUGGAUGAGAUUGGAGCCUCAGUCCAUGGUGUGGCUGCCUGUUCGACACCGUGUGGCAGCUGCUGAAACUGCAAAACAUCAGGCUAAGUGUAACAUCUGCAAAGAGUACCCAAUCGUAGGUUUCAGGUACCGCAGUCUCAAGCACUUCAAUUCUGACAUCUGCCAAAGCUGUUUCUUUUCGGGGCGCACAUCAAAGGGACACAAGUUACAUUGCCCCAUGGUGGAGUACUGCACUCCGAACCUACCCCGGAAGAGAGAGCCCAGAGAAUUGCCAAAGCUGUCCGCAAACAGUCAAUAGAAGUGAAGGAAACUUGGGAGCAAUUGAAAACCCAUGUGAGCAACUGGCAGAAACAGGUGGAAAAGGUGUUGGAGAAACUUCAAGAACUGCAGAAAGCUCUGGAUGAUCUUGAGGCUCAUGUGAUAACAGCUGAAGGGGUCCGCACUGAUUGACAACCUGUGGGUGAACUGCUUAUUGACUCAUUGCAGGAUCACAUUGAUAAAACCACAGUUCAGCUAGGAUCCAGCUGUGCUUAGUUUCAAUUUGGCUUUGGAUCCAAUCUAAUAAUACUGUAAAGGAAUAUAAGAACCAAGGGCAGGAGAAGACUGUGCAGCCCACUGUGCCUGCUUCCUCAUUCACUACAAUUGUGGCUCAUCUUGGGCUUCAAAUUUGCUUUCCUGCUUGCUCCCUGAGUCCCUCGAUUCCCUGAGAGAAUGAAGGUAAAUUUUGUUCUUAAGUACAUUCAGUGAAAACACUUGAUAUAUAUUUGAUUUUAUCAUUAUGAGCCUGUUUUGAGCAGCAUUUUCUUGGGACGUAAAUUUUUUUUGGAUUUGUCACAAUCUAUAUUGGAAGAGCCUACUAGAGAUUGAACCCCACUAUUCCAUAAAUAAUUGUAAAUAUGACGAGUGUAACCUCAAGGAUUGUUAAUGUCUGACUGUUACCGUUAUUGAGGAUAAAAGAAAUUUUCUCCAGGCUUCAUCAAUUAAUGGGGGAAAAAGUACAUUUAUUAUUUUAAAUGUAUUCUUUAACAAGUGACAAAGUGGAUUAUUAAUGAUGAACAUGUAAACUUAAACCAUUCUACAUUCAGGUGCAGACAUGCAUACACUUGUCACCAAUAAGGUGGCAGGAUAGUCAAGAUGAACAGUUAUUCUGCAGUAUCGUGGGUGGGAGAUAUCAGUAAAAAGAACAAACCCUGCAGAACAAGACUCUCAGCCAAAAGCGGGGUAAAUGAGGUGACUUUCUCACAGUUCCUCUGCUUUUUGACAAUGGUGUCGUGUCACCGAUCACCACAUUGAUCCUCAAUUUGACAGUUGAUCAAUUGAACCUAUGUCUGGGCUUGGAUCAGAAAAAGGCCUGAUUCCACACUGUAGGCAUUCUAACACAAGUUUGAUUUGUGUAUGCUGAAAAGAUUUUGGGCCAGAAAGUCCUCAGCAAAGACAUUUUGGUUGAGAGUUAUGUGCUGUGUUGAAUUAAUGUAGCGACUGCCACCCACUGUUGUAGAGUAUAGCUGAAAAACAGAUGAGUAUGGAGGAACUGAUGGGUACAUCUCCAGCAAGGUAACAGCCUUUCAGGAAAAUUGCGCAAGUAACUAGUAAAAUUUGAGUGAGAUUUUUUGGUAAAUUAUUCUUUAACUGAAGUGCGGAAAAAUGUGAGCUCAGCGAUUUUUUUUUGGUGAUCAACUUCGACUCCAUUAUCCUGCAUCACAAUCAAAUUCUAAUAUUUCUGAACUGAAGAAUCAUAGAAUUUUACAGUAUAGAAGGUGGCCAUUUGGCCCACUCUGUCUGUACUGGCUCCUGAAAGAGCUACCCAGCUGUGUCUCUGUAGGCCUCUAAAUUCAGCACUUUCAAAUAUAUAUCUCAGGAAGGGUCACCGGACCUUAGAUGUUAAUUCCAAUUUCACUUCACAGAUGCUGUCAGGCCUGUUGAUCUUUUCCAGCAACUUCUGUUUUUGUCAAGUAAAGAGAUUUAGAUUCUCCCUUACUGGAGAUUGUCAUUGCCUGACACUUUUUUGUAAUGCAUAAUUCGUACCACUUGUCAGCCCUAGCCUAAACUUUGCCCAGGCCUUGCUGCAUAUGGACAUGGACUGCAGUAAUCAGUGCCUAUACCCACUUCUGACUUUGUGAAGGAGUUACGUUCAUUGAUAAAGCAGCUGAAGCUGGUCAGACUGAGGAACUUUGCAGCGAUGACCUGGUACUGAGCUGAUGGAUCUCCGGCAACCACAACCAAUCCUGCCUUUUGCUGUCUAUAUCUCCAACUAGUCGGCCAUUUCCCACCUGAUUCCCAAUUGACUUCAGUUUUCGGAAGGCUUUUUGAUGUCAAGAGCAGGUAUUGUCCUGGUCACUUGUAAUGCUGCCAAUUCAAGAUUAACUACAUGGAUGGUCUCUAUCGGUUGCUUAAUCACCAAUGUCAGUUUGCAAUCCUGAAUCCAAUAUUGUCACUUCAUCUUUCAGUUCUGUUGAUAAGCAAAGUUUGAGAUCAACAGCUUUCAGUUUACUAUCUGGAAGUCAAUCAGUGCAGAUUUUGAUGAAGUGCUGAACGUCAACUUGCCAAAUACAAUUGGCUAAACAGUAUGAGGCCAAUCAGUCUCUUGAAACACUUUUGCUGUGCAAUCAACAUUCCAACAUUAUUUGACAAUGAAAAAUUACAUACGUGCUUCAGAAGAUUAGAUUUGAAACAGAGAUUUGUGAAUAUGAAUGGAGCUAUAUAUGUCUCCAUCUCGGGCACCAACCUCAAGUCCACCUGGACUAUCUCCAACACCUCCCUCACCUUCCUGGACCCCUCUAUCUCCAUCUCGGGCAACCACCUCGAAACUGAUAUCCAUUUCAAGCCCACCGACUCCCACAGCGACCUAGGAUACACCUCCUCCCACCCACCUUCCUGCAAAAAUUACAUCCCCUAUUCCCAAUUCCUUUGCCUUCGCCACAUCUGCUCCCAGGACGAGGCAUUCCAUUCCCGUACACCUCGGAUGUCCUCAUUUUUCAAGGACCGCAACUCCCCCCAACCCAUCCCACACCCCCGCAACCCCUCGCAGUGGUCAAGAACGCCCUCGACCGUGUCUCUCUCAUUUCCUGUGACUCAACUCUCACACCCCGUCCCCGCAAUAACCACCAAAAGAGAACCCCCUCAUCCUCACAUACCACCCUCCCAACCUCUGCCUACAAUGUAUCAUCCUCUGACAUUUCCACCAUCUGCAAUCUGACCUCACCACCAAAGACAUUUUUCCUCCGACCAUUGU